GGUCUUAGAAGCAGCUAGCCAAUCACUGAUACAGUUAAUGAAUGACGUUAUAAUUUCAGUGCCCUAAAAUACAUUGACACUUGGGCCCUUCGCCGCCGCGCCGUUUAACGACAUCACGAGAGCGACCAGAACCCGAGAGGAACGAGAGGAGAACAGCUGGACGCACGCAGGACUGCGAAACGAGCGACCAGCGAUGAAACUGCAGCUCUGUGACCAAAUGGAGACAACGAGAGGAGGGAAGCGGGUCGUAUGGAGGUCGCUGCGCCUUCGCCACGUGUGGAAGCGACCCGCGCUAAUGAUCAGAACCCCCGCGGGUGUUUGGGCCGUUCCCAGGGGGGACAGGGACACAGGGUCCUGGGUUCUCCCGGCGGUCUUUGUUGGCUCUCCGUGGAAACACAAUCUCUCUGGGGCCACAUCUCCAUCCGGCCCCAGGAACCCGAUCCCACGGGCCGCAUUCCUGCCGACAUCAGAAUCCACUAAAUCUAACAGAUGGAAUUUCAUCGCACAGCAACAGAACUUGAAUGAAAGCGAUAAAAAAAGUUUCGGGUGAAAUGAAGAGAGAAGGAAGGCGGCGUGUCUUCUGUUUGCAGAAUGUGAAACGUCUGGUUGACAGAUAAAAACGGAGAAGCGAUUGGUAGCAGCUGUCCUGCGGCAUUGUGGUAGAAAUCAAACCACAGGUUUCAUAUGAGAAAGAAGAUUCUGCACAAACCACAUUCAGUCACUGAGUUACAGAAUCAGCUGAGCUUUUGUUGGUGACAGAUUAACUCCCGCAACCUCGUCUGGGUCGAGGUGAACUUUAAAGAAUGAUGAAAAGAAAAUGAGAGACGGAUCUUCUUCAUUUCGACCUCAAGACUAAAAGUCACAUGUGAAGUAAAUAAUCUGAACUUCACUUUGUUUUAAUCCUCGAGCACCAUGUUUCAAAAAGUUAAACUAAUAACGCGAGACAUGUGAAACCUUCAUGCUGUCUUGUUUCUGUAGACUCCCUUCACAAAACGUGUCUUUUAACCACUAAAAGAAAAUUCCCUCAGGGGUUUUUCUGCCAUUUGUUCGGUAAUUUGUACCCUUCUGUCUCUAUGUUUGAAUCGCAUUACGAGAAACGAGCCGCGCUUCGAGGCGCCGGGUGUUUCCACAGAGGCUCUUUGUGGUUUCACGCUUAUUCUCCUCAAGUUCAAUGAGAGCAUCGCGGCGAGCUCGAGGUUCGAAAGUCAAUGCAUGUACACAGCCCCUGUAUUGGAUUGUAGUCCUCUGGUAAUAUAGUUAUAUAGACGUGUGUGUCAUCUGCAUAACUAUGAUUGUUUUCCAUAAUCUGAGCCAAUAGAUGCAUGCAGAUGUUGAAGAGAAGGGGCCCCAGUAUUGAACCUUGGGGGACACCACAUGUCAUUUUCUUCAGCUCUGAUGUGUAAUUAACUACAGACACAAAGUAUUUUCAGUCUUUAGAGUAGGAUUCAAACCAGUUAAGUGCCGUGCCAGAGAGUCCUACCCAGUUGAUUAGUCUAUCCAGUAGUAUGUCGUUGUCGACCGUGUCAAAUGCUGAGAUCCAGUAAUACUAAGACUGGAAUUCUGCCAUUGUCUGUGUUUAAGUGGAAAACCUUAACAAGAGCAGAUUCAGUUCGUUGGUGCAGUCGAUAGCCUGACUGCAAGGCAUCAAAACAGUUAUAUGCAGCCAGGAAGUAGUUUAGCUGUUGGAAAAACGCCUUUUCAAUUAUCUUACUUAGAAAAGAAAGGUUUGAUACUGGCCUAUCGUCUUUCAUUGUUGUGGCGUCUAGAUUAGCCUUCGUUAGGAGUGGUUUAUUAACACCUGAGAGGAGGGAUGUGUUUACAACUUAUAGAUCAAUGGUCAAACAGUUUGAAUAUCUAAGGAGCAGGAGGACAACUUCCGAUGUUGUAUGAUGUCAUCUAGGCCUGUAUGGUUGAUUAAAUGAAAUUGUGUCAUGAUGUUUGAACAGUUAUUCUGAGAAUGGGAUACAACAUGUCCCGUGUUCGGUAUGGAGGCACUGACUGCUUGUCUAAAGGAAGCACAUUGAUUGCAGCUCAGCAGCCACUGACACUGGAGGGUUGCAAACAGGUAGCAAAUAAGGUGCGUAUGAUAUUACUUUUAGUUAUUAUGUCAGUGAAGGCCUGUUCUAUAUUCAGAGUUAUAAUUACAAAGUCACGUCAACCUUGCAAAUAAUUAGAGCUUUGGUGGUGAUGAGGUGUGCAAGCGUGGGCCCCCUGUGGUGGGGGACGCCCCUGCUGAAUGAGUCCAGGUCGCACAGCAGGUAGCCACACUAAGCAGCACGGUACCGUAAAACACACUGUAAACCCGCGGUACCUCGGGGGAACCCACGGAGACGCUGCCCCCUGGUGGCCGUCUGCGACCCUUUGUGGAACCUUUAAGAGAAGCAAUGACUCGGCGAUGACCAGAGGAACCAGUUGUGCCCCUGUGAUGGAAACAAAGAUCCUUUAGAAACAAUUAGAAAACAAGUCAAAUCAUUGAGACGGUUUCGAAUGAAAGAAGAGUAAAAAUAUCUUGUCAAAAUUUCUUUGGAUUUAGUAAUGUACUUUAUUUAAAGAUUUCCAUUAUUCCUUCAAUGUUUAUAUAUUUAAUAUAAAUAUUUAUACGAUAUAUAUAUAUAUACACUAUAUAUAUUUUAAAAAUGUACUGCAGCCAUGUAACAUUAGUCUCAGAUAAAGUUUAUAUUACGCUCAAGAGAUUUGGAACAGAAUUCCAGAUAUAUUUUUUCUGUCAUUUUAUUUUUGUCUAAAGAAUAAUUUCUUGUUUAUUAGUGAAAAAGCCCCAAAAGACACAAACCGACACGCCGUCCAAAGCACUUUGCUGCUUUAUUGGGUGAAAUGAAUCCAGACAGCUGAUCACAGGCAGUUUGCACUCAUCAUCCUUUUUGUGCAUCGAGAGCAACAGAACAUUUUAAAUGGGGGGGGGACAAAAACUGCAGUUUUUAACCUGUGUGAACGUUGUUUACUUAAAUUACUCUCCGGCCUGAACCGUUCUA